GGCUUCAUGGUCUAGUGGUAUGAUUCCUGCUUCGGGAAAGCAAACCUGGAGUCCCCGGUUCUCUAGAAUCGCCUUUGCAGGAGGCCCCGGGUUCGAAUCCCGGUGAAGCCC
rnacentral:tRNA from 1 species